AGGGCUGAGCUUUGCUGGCCCUCUCCUCCUGCAGGUGAGGCUCCUGGCUUCCCUCUGGCUGACCACCCCCCCCCCCCCCAGAAUUGCCCCUGUUCACACACCUCUGCCACAGGUACCCCCCUUCACACAGCCCCCCUGGGCACUGGGGACUCAUCCCAGCCUUUGGAAAACCCACCCGGUGGGAGCGACACUCCCGUGACCAUUAAUGGGGGUUUGAGAGUCACCUGGGGUGUUCAGAGCACAGAACUGUCACCUGAGACCUGCUGGCAGCUCCUGAGGAGCUUCUCCUUAUCCAGCUUCACACCCUGGCUGAGCUCUGAGAGGGUGACUCCCCUCGAGGAGGUGUCAGUACCUGCUCUCUGAGGAGGUGACAGGGGACUCCCCUCAACAAGGUGACAGUACCUGCUCUCUGAGAGGGUGAGAGGUGACUCCCCUCGAGGAGGUGACAGUACCUGCUCUCUGAGGAGGUGACAGGUGACUCUCCCCUGAGGAGGUGACAGUACCUGCUCUCUGAGGAGGUGACAGGGGACUCCCCUCAACAAGGUGACAGUACCUGCUCUCUGAGGAGGUGACAGGGGACUCCCCUCAACUAGGUGACAGUACCUGCUCUCUGAGGAGGUGACAGGGGACUCCCCUCAACAAGGUGACAGUACCUGCUCUCUGAGGAGGUGCCAGGAGCCCACACAGUGUCUGAGCCCCCCCAGGGGUGUUCCCUCCUGCCUCUCCCCCAGCCAGCACAAGGUUUCUCUCCACUGCCUCCCAUGGCUUUGCUGACCUUGGGGUUUUUCCAUCUGCUUACGUUUCCACUUCUGGAAAAAGGUUUAGUUUCUCCCCCUCGCAAGUUUUUUGUUAAAUUCUCUUCUGGAUUUUUCGGCUUUGAUUCCCUCUUAGUCUCUGCCUGCUCUGGGAAACGUGUCACAAGCUCUGGGUUAAGAUUUUGGUCGCGGGAUGAUUUGAGUUAAUAUUAAAAUGCUUUAAACCUCCGAGCGCUCGCAUUUUUGUCAGCUUAAUUGACUCUGGUUAAAUGUGAUUUAGAUGUAAUUACAACAAGAAAAAUAUUCCUUUGCCAUCCUUUCAAGAAUGAGAGUUGGCUUCAACAGUCAUUUUAUUUUUUUGGGGGGGGGAAUUGCUGGAGGAAGAUCUUUGAUCCACGUUUGCUGUGCCGAGGGCAGCUUUGUCAGCUCGCGGGUCCCAGCGAGUGUUCCCAACCUUUGUCACUCUGUAAAGCUUUAACCUCGUCAUGAAAGUUCCUGAUAGCAGCUGGGAGGAUGGUGCUGCAGCCAAUCCCACAGGCCAGGGCUCUGGAUCCUCGCUUAAACAAGCAAGAGUUGAUAGUUUGGCCUUCUCCUCUGAAGAGCCGCUCCUGGGGCUCUGCACGGCGAAUUUCCCAAAAGCUGAUGUAAAUUAGGGACUUUUUGUCCUCUCCAGACCGUGGGUUUUUUGCUGUUGAGAGGGGUGAGAGCAGGGCUGGGUUGUGCAGAGCUGUGUUCCACGUCACUGAGGGUUUCCAGGCCAGGGGAGGUGGCCCAUGCUCUGUUCCAGGUGUGUGUCCCAUGUGUGUUCACGGGCCAUUCAUCACUUCCCAGCCCAAAUCUGUUUGGUUUCUGAGCCCUUCUCACCUGCACCUGAGAUUUCAGAGCUUUGGUGUUGCCACGUGUGCCUUUGGUCUCUCUAAGGUGAGGAACAUCCUCUGCCAUCCCCAGAGCUGCUUUUAGUCCUGAUCACCUCCAGAAGCACAGAAACUGCCCCCAAAGUGUUUCAGUUUCCCUUUAGCACGGCCAUUCCUUCAAAUUUACUUUCAGGCUGAGCUCAGUGCUUCCCUCAGAGAUGUAGGUAGUGAGGCAGAGUUUAUUUUUAGAGAAGAAUGAAUCAUCUCCUGGUUGUGUCUUGUCUCAUUUUGCUUUGAUGAGAAGUGAAGUCAAAGAACUGCUGGGUCUGGGUCCCUGAGUGCACGUGGACGGGUGAUGCUCUGUCCCAGGAGGGCCCAGCAGCUGAGCAAGGUGGAGUUUGGAAGUGCUGAGCUGCAGGGACAGAGCCUGGGGGUGCAGCAGCUUCCUGGGAUUUCCCUCUCAGGUUGUUUUGUUGGAGGAUUCCUCUGAACUCCGUGAAGGGAAACUCACGUGUGUCCUUUCACCCUGAACUCUUUCCAGUCCCUUCUGUUUCCAGCUCUAUUCUUGGGCUGAGAUUAGUGAGAGGGGAAAGACUGUUGCUGUUGGGAAGUUUGAGAGCAGGAAUUGUGGUCCUUGUUUUGCUUCUCUCGUGGUUGUCUUGAACCUCUCCUGUGUUUGGAGGCUUCUUGUUACCGGACUGGGGUUUGUCCUUGCAGCCAACAGCUUUGGCACGAGGUGUGACCUUGGCAGAGGAAUUAUCUCUAAAGCUAUUGCAACUGCUUCCUUAUCCUUGUGCUUUGUGUUUGAGGCCUGGUAGUGAGCCACUCCUUAACUUCAGUACCCAGGAGGCCAGGCUCCGAAAUAUCCCACUUCCUCAUCUGGGAGUCAGUGGAUGUGAGCUGGAUUAUUGGCUUUCACCUUUUAAAGUCCAGCAGGAGUGAAGUGGAGCAUCCUUCAGUGGCUGGAGGAACUGUGUUAGUGGCUUGUGGGGCGUUUGAACUUCCUGGGGGGAGAAUUUUUGCAGAAGGGGAGUUAGUUUUGUUGUCUACGUGGAAGGAGC